rnacentral:rRNA from 1 species
AGUCGAACGAGAAUCUACUGAAAGAGUUUUCGGACGAUGGAAGUAGAGGAAAGUGGCGGACGGGUGAGUAACGCGUGAGGAACCUGCCUUGAAGAGGGGGACAACAGUUGGAAACGACUGCUAAUACCGCAUGAAGCAUAGAGGUCGCAUGAUCUUUAUGCCAAAGAUUUAUCGCUUCAAGAUGGCCUCGCGUCUGAUUAGCUGGUUGGCGGGGUAACGGCCCACCAAGGCGACGAUCAGUAGCCGGACUGAGAGGUUGAACGGCCACAUUGGGACUGAGAUACGGCCCAGACUCCUACGGGAGGCAGCAGUGGGGAAUAUUGGGCAAUGGGCGCAAGCCUGACCCAGCAACGCCGCGUGAAGGAAGAAGGCUUUCGGGUUGUAAACUUCUUUUAAGAGGGAAGAGCAGAAGACGGUACCUCUAGAAUAAGCCACGGCUAACUACGUGCCAGCAGCCGCGGUAAUACGUAGGUGGC